rnacentral:rRNA from 1 species
AUUGAACGCUGGCGGCAGGCCUAACACAUGCAAGUCGAGCGAGCGGCGGACGGGUGAGUAAUGUCUGGGAAACUGCCUGAUGGAGGGGGAUCACUACUGGAAACGGUAGCUAAUACCGCAUACCAUCAGAUGUGCCCAGAUGGGAUUAGCUAGUAGGUGGGGUAACGGCCCACCUAGGCGACGAGCCCUAGCUGGUCUGAGAGGAUGACCAGGCAAACGGGAAAGGAGACACGGUCCAGACGCCUAAGGGAGGCAGCAGUGGGGAAUAGUGCACAAAGGGCGCAAGCCUAAUGCAGCAAGGACGCGUGUGUGAAGAAGGCCUUCGGGUUGGAAAGCGCUUUCAGCGGGGAGGCGUUACCCGCAGAAGAAGCACCGGCUAACUCCGUGCCAGCAGCCGCGGUAAUAC